AGAUCUGCGGAGUGGCGGCAGCGUGACCAAUGAGGACAUACCGGGGUGCGUUUGUAGAUGGUUGGAAGCUUUUCCCAAUUUCCCGCGGUGUAGCCUGAAACAUGGAUCAAUGCGCAAUUUUUGAACGCCCUUAGAGGG
rfam:Dictyocaulus viviparus strain HannoverDv2000 D_viviparus-1.0_Cont817.1, whole genome shotgun sequence.